rnacentral:lncRNA from 1 species
GUACACUGGACCGUUAAAUUGGGGUCAGGACUCCAACUUCAUCAAAAACAACCUUCACCAAAAACUCUAACAUGAAGCGGGACAGACGGACGGACGAACGGACAGACGAACGAAAGAGCAAACGGACGAACGAACGAAAAGUUAGACUGACGAAUGAACCAACGUACAUGUACAAAUAGACGAGCAAACGGACACACAGGCCGAAAAACAUAAUGCCCCUAUUUGGAGCCUAAAAUAAAACUGAAUAUGGGAAUGAUUGUGUCAAAAAGACGUCAAAACAACCCGAC